UUUUUGAAAAUAAACAUGCCAUGAUGCAAAUGAGGCUGACAAGACUGGCUGGCUGUGUAUCUCGGAGCACAGGAUCAAAGCUUCGGCUUGAACUCGGAACCACAAAAUCAUCUGACACCCAAAAAUCAUCCGAGACCCAAUCUGUAGAACUAAGUCACCAACAGGAUCACAAGUCACCAAUAAGUCACCAACUGUACCUGUAAU
rnacentral:lncRNA from 1 species